GUUUUGUCAGCAGUGCAGCAGGUUGGCUGCUGCAAUUUUUUUUUCUCCUCCAAUCAUGAUUCAUUGAUACUUAUCUCCGUGCUUAGUAUUUUAAAACUAUAUUUAUCCGCACUUUGAAUGCUAGAUGGCUUAUAACGGUGAUGGUGAAAUUACUUUAAAGAUUCUGUAUGAAACUGUGAAUAUGUAACUGUUGGUUUUUCGGUUUAAUUGGGAAAAAAUGUUGAAGCAAAAUGGAAUAGAACUGAAUGUUGGAUGAGAAAUUAUGUUUAGUCAUACAGAACUGCAGAUCCUUAGGUUUUUCAGUCCAUGUAGGCAGAUUUAAUUUGGCAGGAAAGAAUGUGCCUAAUUGUUUUUUUUUUUUUU
rnacentral:misc_RNA from 1 species